CCCUUAGAUGUUCUGGGCCGCACGCGCGCCACACUGAUGCAUUCAACGAGCCUAUCCUUGACCGACAGGUCCGGGUAAUCUUUGAAUCUGCAUCGUGACGGGGAUAGAUUAUUGCAAUUAUUAAUCUUCAACGAGAAAUGCCUAGUAGGCGCAAGUCAUCAGCUUGCGUCGAUUACGUCCCUGCCCUUUGUACACACCGCCCGUCGCUCCUACCGAUUGAAUGUUCCGGUGAGCUCUUCGGACUGCGCGGUCUGCAGUUUCUGCGUUCCGUGCGGAAAGUUGCGCAAACCUUACAUUUAGAGGAAGGAGAAGUCGUAACA
rnacentral:rRNA from 1 species